UACGAAGGGGGCUAGCGUUGUUCGGAUUUACUGGGCGUAAAGCGCGUGUAGGCGGGCUGGAAAGUUGGGGGUGAAAUCCCGAGGCUCAACCUCGGAACUGCCUCCAAAACUUCCAGCCUGGAGCAAGAUAGAGGCAAGUGGAAUUGCGAGUGUAGAGGUGAAAUUCGUAGAUAUUCGCAGGAACACCAGUGGCGAAGGCG
rnacentral:rRNA from 1 species